AUGGGAUCAGUUUUAUCACGUGAUAGAAAGUCUAAGGUCUUUUCAAGCUCAAGGGCAAACUCAUCGAAUCUGCGACCUAUAAUGCAUCAAACUAAGAUUGAUAUAAAGACACAAAGUACUGCCAUCAAGUUGGCAUUUUUAAACAUUCGCUCACUAAAAAAUAAAUCAUUUCUAAUCAAUGACUUUAUAACCACAAACAAUCUGGAUUUUAUGUUUCUAAAUGAAACAUGGCUAGAAGACAGCUGCAGUGCAACAGUCCUCAAUGAAGCAGCCCCUCCUAACUUUACUUUCAUGAGUGUCUGCAGGACUGUUAGGAGAGGUGGAGGUGUAGCUGCUCUAUUUAAAGAUGUCUAUCAAUGCAAGCAAAUGUCAUUUGGUCAGUACUUGUCUUUUGAAUAUCUAGGGAUUGUGCUGAAAGGUGCUCCACGCAUUCUGUUUAUCAUUAUUUACAGGCCUCCAAAAUACUCUCCAGCCUUUGUUGAAGAGGUCACAGAAAUGCUAUCAAUGAUUUCCUCAGAGUUUGACUGUUUUGCUAUUGCAGGGGAUUUUAAUAUUCAUAUAGAUAAUGCAGAAAACAAAAUUACAAAAGAAAUGAUAACGGUUCUAAACACUUUUGACCUGAUUCAGCAUGUGCAUGGACCCACACACAAAGGUGGACACACUCUAGAUUUAAUCAUCAGUAGGGGUCUAAACAUUUCAUCCAUUGUUAUUAAGGACGUAGCACUAUCUGAUCACUUCUGUAUUUUCUUUGAUAUAUUGAUCUCUGCUACCAAUGAAUCUAGAUCUGUCUCUGUCAGAAGGAGAUGCAUUAACGAUAACACUAGUGUGCGGUUUAUGGAGGCUAUAUCUCUAACACCAAGCAUUUCUGCAGACUCUGUUGAUAUUCUCCUUGAUUCCUUUAACUCAAAAGUUAAGAAUGUUAUUGAUGAUAUUGCUCCAAUAAUAGUCAGUAAGAAAACAAACAGACAGAAAUCAGUUUGGAGAAGAUCAACAGCAGUUCAGACUAUGAAAAGACAAUGCAGAAAAGCCGAGCGGAUGUGGCGGAAGACGAAACUUGAAAUUCACUAUAGCAUUUAUAAAGACAGCCUUCAUGCUUUUAAUGUGAAACUAGCCACAGCUAGACAGAAUUUCUUCUCAAACCUUAUAAACAGUAACUUAAACAACACUCGUACUCUUUUUGCCACUGUUGAGAGACUGACAAACCCCCCAAGUCAGAUUCCCAGUGAAAUGCUCUCAGUUACCAAAUGCAAUGAGUUUGCUUCCUUCUUUUCUGAGAAGAUCAUUAAUAUCAGGAAGGCGAUUAGCACAUCCUCAAGCAAUGCAGAGGUCAGACAGAUCUGGACGCAAUAUCAAAAAGAUACUAUGUCUAUUUUUGAAGCAAUUGAUAGCAAAAUUUUGGAAGAAAUAGUGCAGCACCUAAAAUCGUCAAGCUGCUAUCUUAACACACUUCCCACAUCUUUUUUAAAAGUGUGCUUAACUGUUUAG
ensembl:lncRNA